GUAUAUGCAAAAUGCAGUGAUCUGCAAAUGCAGUUCAAGUAGACAACAUGAACAAAAUGAAUAGUACAGAUGUGCAGAAAACGAAGAUUAUCAUCUUGAUUUAUUUUACAAAACGUAGAUUCUUAUUACCAGUUGUGGUACAGUUUUUUUGUAUAAAGCUUCCACUCAGUGGAAACAUUUGUAGAAUCAUGUAAUAGCAGAAGUGUAAUGAUAAGUUUUUUUCAGCAGCUAAUAUCUAACUAAACUAAACGGUCUCAUGGUCUUUAGUACCAAUAAUCCUCUUCCAUGUCUCCAACAAGCGUUACCUGAGGCCUCCAACUCUUAAACUCUCAGACGAGCAGUCACACUUGCUGAGUUGUGGCCUUUGGAUAAAUUUAGACAUUUAUUCCAGUGAUGUCACGCAACAGAAACUCCCUUUCAGAAUUUGUAUUUCUGGACAGUUUUUUAACCCAAAUAGAGUUCCAGCAAGUAGAACACACAUGAAGGGCACUGCAAUUACGAUUGGUGGCAGUCCCGGCGUAAAGACGUCUCCAUCAGCAUUUCUCUCCGUCCCUGGCCAGUGCACAGACAGGUUUGUCUGUUACUGACGCAAUGGGACUCAAAAGAAAUGAUUAGUAAGGCGCCGGAGGGAGGUUCACGACCUGAAAUGCACCACUGACUCAAGAAAAAUGUGUUUUUCUAGCUUUAUAUGUGUGCGCACUGAUGCAAGUGUUUUCUUUGUUACUCCGUGGUGAGAGCAGUCAUUCACUAUGUUUUCUGUCAGCUCCAUUUUCUUUCAGAGGCACAGAGCCCAGUCAUGAAGGUGUCAGUGACAGUGAGGCUCGACACUCAUUUUUCUCCCUGCUGUGCUACUUUAUUAUUCCACUGGAGAAAAAUGGUGGAUGCUGCGUCUGCUGCGGGGAGAUGUUUGAUGUUUUCAUCUGCUGAUCUAAACUGUUGAGUCAUGGACGGCCAACAGGCCUGUGGUUAGAGAGGUCAGUGAUAAUGGCGAAGGUACGUACGAAGGUUAUGUAUUGUCACAAUAUAUUACUCUGUUUCUGAGUGGGCUGCUCAUAUAGUACAUAAUGGAAACGUAUUGUUUUUUCGAUGUGGGGCCAAGUACAAGUGUUGGGUUACAAUAUAUGGUUUUCAUUUCUAAGUAUAACUUCACAUUGGCGCCUUUUACUACAUAUUAAAUAAAUCUGUUGCACAUUAGGAAUAAGAAUGUAAUCAGGCUCAAAUGGAGUUACCUGCACUGAAGGCUGGGUACCAUUUUAAUCGUUAAUAUGUUUGACCAUAUUCUUC
rnacentral:lncRNA from 1 species